CCUGCUCGCUGAGGGAGGGCGGGGGUCUGUUGACAGCGGAGAUUUUGUGCGUGGGGCCACGGCAGCCGCGCCCGUGGCUUCCCCCCCGCCUCACCCGCGCCGAGGGAAGCCACGGGGCUGACGAGCGGCCACGGAGGACGCCUGCGGCCGCCGGGGAGCUCCGCCGCCCUGAGCCGGAGCGGGCUGGGACGGGCUGCCCGGCAGCCGCAGCCGAGGAGGUAACGCCGCUGUGGGAGCUGCCGGAAGCGGGAGGCACGGCGGCCGCUUCCCGCCCUUCCCGCCGCCGUGAGAGGAGCGCCCGCGGAGCCCGCCCUGAGGGCCGAGCGCUGCGCCGGGCCCCGCGCUGAGGGCUGUGGAGAGGAUCCCGCCCGCCUGGCUGGUAGCGGGCUCCCAGGGAGAGUGUCUGCCCUGCCGGCACAGCAGACGCUUUGGGUGAUUCAGAAAUGAGCAGUGGGAGCGCUCGGUGAUUUUCACGGGAGGAAGACAGCAGCCAGCAAGGCCCCGGCUCCCUGCCAUCUUGAGCCCUUCCUGGUGAUUUGCAGCAGCACAGAUAAAUCAUUUGCGGAAGAAAAUCAGGAGAAACCGAGCAGGGUUUGCCAGUAUCUUGGAGAUCUUUCCACGUAGCUUCUUCUUUAACAAGACCUCAGAUUUAAAGAUACCGAAACAGGAAUAUCUCAACAUUUGUAAUACUGCCUACAAUAAGAAAAAUUUUGCUCUCAAUUUAUACUCGUGUGGGUAUGCAAGUAGCAAUUCAGUGAAGCAUCACCAGGAAAGGACACUUCUUUCAUAUUCUUUCAUAUUCUAGUAACUGAUCUAUUGGUUUAACAAUCUUCUGUGUCAUUUUCCCUAUUUUUUUUUUUCCUUUUUGUUACUCUUGGAAAUUUGGGGUGCUAGCUUAUUUGUUGCUUUCCCUUCUCCUACUAGCACCCAUUUUAAAAGGCUCAGCUCUAUUCUGCUCAGGUUUUGUUCUGACACAUGGAAAAUUUGUAUAUUCUUUUUGCAAGCAGUAGGUUGGUGAGGGAGAGGUCUGCAUUAUAAAAUAGCAAACCUACUAAACGGUACUCAGUUGGAGAUUAAAUAAGAAAGAAGAGAAUGGCCGAAGCAAGUCGUUUGUCGCAGAUGUUCAUGCAGUUCUGUGUUUGGUUUUAAGCUGGAUUCAUCAAAUGUGCUAAAGAGUAAUUUUUGUCUGAUAUGAAGUUUCUAUCCAAGGAGACCAAGUGGGUUCAGUUUAAACCGUGGUUUGAAAAUGCAGGCGAAUGUUACCAGUCGGACACAGGAAAGUCGGGCUGUUUUGCAAUCUUAAUUCAGUAGUAAGAAGCAAAAUGUAUGGGAAUUAAAUUGCUGUGUAAUGUAGUUACGUUAGUUACCAAAUCCUUUUGUGUACUAAGUACAAAUAUUUUACCAUAACUGUCAGAAUUCCAUAGAUGAUAAAAGGUGCUUAUGCUGUCGGAGGGUAAGCAUGAAAUGCCGACGUGAUAACAUCUGAUACCAAAAUGGUGUAUGCUGCUUUUACAGUAUUUCCUAAGUUUACAACGGAACUUUAGUAAUAAAACUUAGUGAAAACGCGUGAGAUAAGCAUGAAUGUAAUACGUUGGGUUUUUUUUUAGAUAGGCUGGUUAUCGUGUUUAAUAGAGUAGAACACAAAUGAGAAGGCCCAGAAAUAAAAUUACUUUAAAAAGGGGAUUUUGAAAAAUUCAUCAUAUCAAACUCAUUCUUCGUUCUCAUUAGUUUCUAUCUCUUUUAACAUAUUUUCCCCUUUUUAAAGUUCAUUUCUGUCUCUAUUUCCUCAAAAAUUCUGCGCUCCUUUCCCAAAAGGUGAAGCAUGCUAUGGUUACAAAUUCCUUCUGUUGAUUGAAGCAGAAUGAUUUUUUUUUCCCCAAAUGAAUAUAUAUGUAUGAAUUUGCUAAACUUUUCCAGCUAUGUUUACGUAUGUUGUUUCUGAGAGAUGAUGAGGGAUGCCCGAUUUACUGCAGCAUACUACGAUGUAGUAACUAAAUGUAGUCGAGCAUUUUUCUUAUUUGUAAUCAAAUAUACAGAAUUGUCAGCCUAUUUGCUUUUAAGUACCUGGAAGCUGAAUUAGAAACAGGAUUUUUAAUACAAUGGAUUUGACAUUUCAGUCUGCACUUGCUUUUUUCUUUUCUAAAUGAGCACUGAUUAUCAGAAAAAUCAAGGCUUACAUAAUCAAGCCAUACAUUUUUCUGUUCUUCUUUCUCUUCCCCCACUUUAGCCAUCAUUUUCGUCUGAAAAAUGAAAAUUUUUGAAUAGAGAAUUACUAUGACAUACUAAUUAUAUACACAUUUUUGUGGGACUGCAUAACCAGGCUAUUUGUAUGUAUUUAGUAAAAGAAGGCCGUCAACAAAAUAUUACAACCUUGAGAUGGCUAAACUUUAAAAUUACAGUAAUCAUUAAAUACAGCAUUAUCUUGUUGAUGUGCCUGUCUGUGUACCACUGAGUCAUUUUCCUUCCCUUGGAGAAGUAGGGUGCUUCUAUUUAUUCCUUAUUCAGGAUAACAGAAAUAAGAACGUCCUACCCAAUUUUUUUUUUAAUCGUCGCAAAGCUGAUUCUCCUUCAUAAAGAAGAUGGUUUUAAUAUUCAGUUUUCAGAGGAUGAGAAGCAAUUGCCUUGGACAAAUAUAUAGCAAAUGAAUUGAAGCUCUGUCCUACUAGAACAAUUACAAAUCGAAUUAAUUACAAAGAAUAAUAUUAAAAUUUUAGCUAAAUAUGUUAACAUGAACUCCUGCCCAUAGGUGGCAGUCAGCUUUCACUAUAGUAGAGAUGCCAAACUUUUGGUUCAUGAUAUUCAUACUUAUGCUGAUGUAAUUUUAAUGGAGUAUGCAUAUGUGCGUGUACAGAAGUAUGCAGAUCUCUGCACU